AAUGGUUCACGGAAUAUCGUCGUUCUCGUGGCGAAAUUUGUCCCAUAGGAAUGAAUGGCAAAGCUAGAGUGGGAGCUGGCAAAAGCUGAAAAAUCAGGACAUGAUUUCUAAACUGCCACCACUCCCUCAUUUUCAAGCCCACCUACACAAAUCUUAUAUCAAAACGUUCAGCUAUCCCUGCUGCCACUAAACAUGUCAACGGCUUAGCUAUAGUACUGAUAGUUUUCACGAUAUAAUCAUUUGUUUGCAACUAACGACAUCCAUUGACUUUCAUUGAAACUUCACUCUGCAAAGAUCAAAUUUGAAGUGCAAUUUCUAAACUGCGACUGUGCCUUCAAUUUUAAUACUUCAGAGACAUACUAUGCAUCAAAAUGUAGGUCUGGGUCUUGUGAUUCUCACAAUAUAAAGCUCUUCGCUGUAGGAUUUAUAGUUUUUAAAAUAUGACCGUUUGAAGAUGGCAACCACCAAAAUACUCUGACCUGUUAAGGCU